rnacentral:rRNA from 1 species
AUUGAACGCUGGCGGCAGGCCUAACACAUGCAAGUCGAACGGUAACAGGAAGCAGCUUGCUGCUUCGCUGACGAGUGGCGGACGGGUGAGUAAUGUCUGGGAUACUGCCUGAUGGAGGGGGAUAACUACUGGAAACGGUAGCUAAUGCCGCAUAACGUCGCAAGACCAAAGAGGGGGACCUUAGGGUCGCUUGCCAUCGGAUGCGCCCAGAUGGGAUUAGCUCGUAGGUGGGGUAACGGCUCACCUAGGCGAGGAUCCCUAGCUGGGCUGAGAGGAUGACCAGCCGCACGCGAACUGAGACACGGGCCAGACUCCUACGGGAGGCAGCAGUGGGGAAUAUUGCACAAUGGGCGCAAGCCUGAUGCAGCCAUUCCGCGUGUAUGAAGAACACCUUCGGCUUGUAAAGUACUUUCAGCGGGGAGGAAGGUAGUAAAGUUAAUACCUACGCUCAUUGACGUUACCCGCAGAAGAAGCACCGGCUAACUCCGUG